UACGGGGGGGGCAAGCGUUGUUCGGAAUUACUGGGCGUAAAGGGCGCGUAGGCGGCCUGCUAAGUCGGAUGUGAAAUCCCCCGGCUCAACCGAGGAACUGCAUCCGAUACUGGCGGGCUUGAAUCCGGGAGAGGGAUGUGGAAUUCCAGGUGUAGCGGUGAAAUGCGUAGAUAUCUGGAGGAAUACCGGUGGCGAAGGCGGCAUCCUGGACCGGCAUUGACGCUGAACAGCGAAAGCUAGGGGAGCAAACGGGAGUUAGAAAACCCCAG
rnacentral:rRNA from 1 species